rnacentral:tRNA from 1 species
UCCCAUAUGGUCUAGCGGUUAAAUUUCUGGUUUUCACCCAGACUGCCCGGGUUCAACUCCCGGUAUGGGAA